rnacentral:rRNA from 1 species
UACGGGGGGAGCAAGCGUUGUUCGGAUUCAUUGGGCGUAAAGGGUGCGUAGGUGGCGCGGUAAGUCGGGUGUGAAAUUUCGGAGCUUAACUCCGAAACUGCAUUCGAUACUGCCGUGCUUGAGGACUGGAGAGGAGGCUGGAAUUUACGGUGUAGCAGUGAAAUGCGUAGAGAUCGUAAGGAAGACCAGUGGCGAAGGCGGGUCUCUGGACAGUUCCUGACACUGAGGCACGAAGGCCAGGGGAGCAAACGGG